GGGGGUGUUCUGGAUUCGACCCUUGGUUGGAGCGCGCCGUUGCCUGUCGAGAGUGAGGGACUCUCGUAAAUCUCCCUUCAAAACAAUAAGCGGCACCUACGAAGAAAUGCCCCUGGCGGCCUAAGUUGCCACCACGUUUGUCCAGCGACACCUGCUAGCUGAAACAAACGCCGAUAGCAGGCAUGGCCCGUGCGGGCGUCUCCGGCGCACGAGCAAGUACCUUCAUCCGGCGGCUGGCCCGAAUCGAGCGCGUGCUGCGGCAUGAGGCGGGCGAGAUCAAAGCAGCGCUACACAGGUAGAUGCGGUUCGUAAAGGCCAGGGGGACCGGGGUUCAAAUCCCCGCACCUCCACCA
rnacentral:tmRNA from 1 species